UACGGGGGGGGCAAGCGUUGUUCGGAAUUACUGGGCGUAAAGGGCUUGUAGGUGGCCAACUAAGUCAGACGUGAAAUCCCUCGGCUUAACCGGGGAACUGCGUCUGAUACUGGAUGGCUAGAGAUUGGGAGAGGGAUGCGGAAUUCCAGGUGCAGCGGUGAAAUGCGUAGAUAUCUGGAGGAACACCGGUGGCGAAGGCGGCAUCCUGGACCGGUAUUGACGCUGAGGCGCGAAAGCUAGGGGAGCAAACGGG
rnacentral:rRNA from 1 species